GGGUUAGUAGGUUGGUUAUGCCACUGGUAUGUACUGGUCUCACUGAUUCCUCCUUCCUGAUGAGACGUAAUGCCAUUAAUUUGGUGUUGCGAGGAAUCUGGACUGUUACUUUGAAAAAAUUAGAGUGUUUAAAGCAGGCUAACGCUUGAAUACAUUAGCAUGGAAUAAUGAAAUAGGACGUUCGAUCUUAUUUUGUUGGUUUCUAGGAUUGACGUAAUGAUUAAUAGGGAUAGUUGGG
rnacentral:rRNA from 1 species